UACGUAGGGGGCAAGCGUUGUCCGGAUUUAUUGGGCGUAAAGAGCGUGUAGGCGGCCAGGUAGGUCAGCUGUGAAACUCGAGGCUCAACCUCGAGACGUCGGUUGAAACCACCUGGCUAGAGUCCGGAAGAGGAGAGUGGAAUUCCUGGUGUAGCGGUGAAAUGCGCAGAUAUCAACCAGAACGCCGAUAGCGAAGGCAGCUCGCUGAGGAUGUACCGACGCUGAGGCACGAUAGCGUGGGGAUCAAACAGG
rnacentral:rRNA from 1 species